GGAUACAUACCAAGAGAUCAAAUGGACACUUUGAGAACACUGUGCAAAUGAGCAAGUUGCAAAACCUCAUCAAGUACAGCAAGAUGGUCAGGUGUAGAGAACAGUUUGUCUGCCCAGUAAUACUAUUCAAGGGCCAGAAAAUUUGGCAAGUCAGCCUCUGGCUGAAUGGAGGCAGCUGCAUGAAUCCACUGGCUACAGCUGUAUUUUUCAGAGGGUGCCUGUGCUGCCUGGACAGAUGCAGGGGACUUCACAGAAGAGGAAUAUGCUCUCUGAAGUGUCCAUACACAACUAUUUCAGGAAGUUAGAGGCUGUGACAUCAAGCUGCUUCAAUACCUAUCAGUCAAAUACAUCUCUGACCUGAUGGUAGAGAAUAAGAAAGUAAAGCUUGGCUUGAAUGUGACCUCCUCUGAGAAGGUGGACAAAGCCCAGUGCUGUGCCACCUUCACUCUGCUCUGCAUCCUGUGUUUGGGCGGUGAAUUUUGCAAGGAAUAUAAGGAUUGAAUUACAUGGCUGAAAGGCAAAUUUUUAACUGGAAGCAGGAUUAUGUCAAGGUCCCAUUGAGCACACCUGACUCAUAGACUCACUCUCUGAACAUUAACUGGAGCCAGUAUCAGUGGUGGGACCUGCUGCAUCAAACACAAAACUACCCCAAACUGCUGAUUUCCGUAGUUAACAGCAACUAUGAGAGCAAACUGCUGGUAUAUCAGUCUGGGAUCACAUCCCUCUUUUCUACACCUUUCUUUGUGGGCUGAUGGGCUCAUCCACACAUCCCUAAAGCCUGCUGAGAUCCUUCACCUACCCACAGCCUGUUCCUAGUUCCUCUUUGGGCACUUGAUGGUAGAUUGGGUAAGCAAAGGAUGGGAGAUUUUUUCCGCUUGAGUUUUUGAAGCAUAUCAUUUCCUAGGAGUUCUCUGCCCUGAAGACACACAGGUGAGAGUUUGUCAGGCUGGGAUGCAGGCUUCACCGUGGAGGAUAUCUGUAUGCUGAGAUGAAGGGAUCCCAGCCUUGGCAGGGACUUUUCUCCCUGGUCAUGGAGAGCCCUCAGUCGUCAUUGAGAGCUUCACCUAUGAGGUUGUGGAGCUAUUCCUAGAAGGAUCACAGACUCAGGCAGCUUGGAGAAGAGUCACUUGUCCUCUCCACAAAGUAUACUCUGGAAUUGACUGCAGCCCUCGGAGCAUGACCUGCCUUCUCAACAGAUGCUGGAAAAAGCCAGAGUCUUCAAGCUCCUCAUUUUCAGCCAUUGCAACAACUUUUUCAGAAUGGGUAGUGGCCCCCUGGAAGUCUCCAAACCCAGACU
rnacentral:lncRNA from 1 species